rnacentral:rRNA from 1 species
AUUGAACGCUGGCGGCAGGCCUAACACAUGCAAGUCGAGCGGAUGAGAGGAGCUUGCUCCUUGAUUCAGCGGCGGACGGGUGAGUAAUGCCUAGGAAUCUGCCUGGUAGUGGGGAACAACGUUUCGAAAGGAACGCUAAUACCGCAUACGUCCUACGGGAGAAAGCAGGGGACCUUCGGGCCUUGCGCUAUCAGAUGAGCCUAGGUCGGAUUAGCUAGUUGGUGAGGUAAUGGCUCACCAAGGCGACGAUCCGUAACUGGUCUGAGAGGAUGAUCAGUCACACUGGAACUGAGACACGGUCCAGACUCCUACGGGAGGCAGCAGUGGGGAAUAUUGGACAAUGGGCGAAAGCCUGAUCCAGCCAUGCCGCGUGUGUGAAGAAGGUCUUCGGAUUGUAAAGCACUUUAAGUUGGGAGGAAGGGCAGUAAGUUAAUACCUUGCUGUUUUGACGUUACCGACAGAAUAAGCACCGGCUAACUCUGUGCCAGCAGCCGCCGCGG